GGGAAAUUAGGGUUUCAGAAAUUGGAUUUGGGGCAAAAAAGAAAAUAACUUAAAUAGAGAAAAUUUAAAGGCAGUGAGAACAACGAGUGGAUCCUAAAGGGAGUAAACAAGAACCGAAGACGAAAUGGAUGAUCGGAAGGUUUGUAUAUAGAUAAGAUGAAAACAGAUCAACGAUGAGGUUUUGAAUGGUUCCGACUUCCGGCAAUUGAACGGUGAAAAAGUAAGGUGAAGAAAUUUGGUAGUGUGAAGAAGAUAUGCGUUGUAGACGUGGG
rnacentral:misc_RNA from 1 species